CCCAGUGUGGUGUAGUGGUUUAAACGUUGGACUAUGACUUUGGAGACCAGGGUUCAAGUCCCAGCUCAGCCA